AUUUAAAUAGUUUAAAUAAAAUAUUGAUUUGUGGUGUCAGGGAUGUAGAAAUAUUUUAAAUA
rnacentral:tRNA from 1 species